CUUGGGUUUUGCCCUACAGACAGCGUGUGGUGGCUGAGGGAGAAAAGGCAGCCCCAAAGCCUGGCAACCUCAAAAGGAGAAGCAGGAGCCCCUGGAAGACAGCAUGGUGGAGGAAAGAUCCUGAAUGCAUCAUGCAGAGGUUUGAUCAACCAAGUGGCUGGAUUUGGAACAGAUUUUUGAGGAAGCUUGUGUCACUUCAGUGAAGUGGCUUGAAGGAUAAUAGAAGCACGUCCAGUAGAUCUGUGUCAGUGCAGAGUCCAGUUCUUGUGUUUGUCAGACAUGUGGCCAAGAAAUACUCUCACAGCCUAGGAAACUAGCUGUACAGCAUUUCGUGUCUUGGCAAGGAAGGCACCUCCUUCAGCUUUCAGCACCGCAUUGCAAGCUCCAGAUCAAAUCCUGCUUUCACAUACAGCACAGUGAGAGGAUUAUGGCCCCCCUUACCCUUUUCCAUUCACUACAGUUUUAUGAGUGGUGUUUCGUUUCAGUACAGAGGCAUGCUGAGCCCUAUGUACUACUACUCUGCACUUACAUUCAGUUAUUUCUACCUGGGCAGCUGGCACUUGUGACCUGAUGGUGUUUUACAGACUUUACCUCAUUGUUACUAACAAUACAAAGGGCAAAAAGCAAGAGUAAGUAACUUGGACCCUGUCAUACUGAAUUCUAUCAUUUAUAUAGCAUGUGAGCACACCUAAAUCUCAGACUC